rnacentral:rRNA from 1 species
AACGAACGCUGGCGGCAGGCUUAACACAUGCAAGUCGAACGGAUCCUUCGGGAUUAGUGGCAGACGGGUGAGUAACGCGUGGGAACGUACCCUUUGCUACGGAAUAACUCAGGGAAACUUGAGCUAAUACCGUAUGUGCCCUACGGGGGAAAGAUUUAUCGGCAAAGGAUCGGCCCGCGUUGGAUUAGCUAGUUGGUGGGGUAAUGGCCUACCAAGGCGACGAUCCAUAGCUGGUCUGAGAGGAUGAUCAGCCACACUGGGACUGAGACACGGCCCAGACUCCUACGGGAGGCAGCAGUGGGGAAUAUUGGACAAUGGGCGCAAGCCCGAUCCAGCCAUGCCGCGUGAGUGAUGAAGGUCUUAGGACUGUAAAGCUCUUUCACCGGUGAAGAUAAUGACGGUAGCCGGAGAAGAAGCCCCGGCUAACUUCGUG